rnacentral:tRNA from 1 species
UCCCUGGUGGUUCAGAGGUUAAGACUCAACACUUCCACCGUGGUGACCUGGGUUCAAUCCCCAGUCAGGGAA